UACGUAGGGGGCAAGCGUUGUCCGGAAUCAUUGGGCGUAAAGAGCGCGUAGGCGGUCCGGUAAGUCCGCUCUGAAAGUCCGGGGCUCAACCCCGGGAGGCGGGCGGAUACUGUCGGGCUAGAGUCCGGAAGAGGCGAGUGGAAUUCCUGGUGUAGCGGUGAAAUGCGCAGAUAUCAGGAGGAACACCAAUGGCGAAGGCAGCUCGCUGGGACGGUACUGACGCUGAGGAGCGAAAGCGUGGGGAGCAAACAGG
rnacentral:rRNA from 1 species